rnacentral:lncRNA from 1 species
AUGUCAUCUCUGGGCUCCAGUGGAGGCGGCUCCCUGCUGCAGGUUCCAGGAGCUCUGCCAGCCAUCAGUCACGCUUCACUGGGGUCUGGACGCAGCUCAAGGCCAAUGAUCUGCCUCAGCACAUUUCACAGCAUCGACAGGCACUCCUCACACAGACUCGGCUCAGCCAACAGCGUAGAAGGAUACAGGUUUAGCCCCACUCACAGAGCCAAGAGACAUAGACUGAACUCGGCUCACAGUAUAGAUGGAUAUAGAUUCAGCCCGGCUCAUCGCAUCAACAGACACAGACUCAGCUCUGCUCACAGUAUGGACGGAUACAGGGUGAAUCCAGAUCCCAGCGCCGAGCGGCCGAAACUCAUGUCCAGCCACAGCAUAGACAGGCAUCCGUCGCUCAGACUGAGCCCCACGCACGGCAGCGGCGGCAGGCGUCCUUCUUACUGGCUCAGUCCCGAAGACAGUUUAGACAGAAACAAGUUGAGCCCCUCCUACAUCCCUGACAGUUCAGCCACAAGGAGACCAGCAUCCCUCCGCACUGCAAGCAGACAGUUAAGGAGACAGGAGGCCGUGCGCCUCGACUCUCUGGAUCAGAGUUCAGCUGACGAUCUGGCAGAGCCCCGACUCACUGUGCCCGCAGCCUCCUCCACCCCACCACGGCAACGGUCGUCCAGCGUUCACACAGUGAAAUAUGCGCACUCGCAGAGGGUCAUCUCCUGCAGGAGCCACAGCCGGAGCCACAGCGAUACUGCUGCACAAGAACACGUACCUGAGGAGGCAGCCUGUGGCUCUCAGGUAGAAGCAGAUUUUGAGAAGAGUUUGAAGGUAUCAGUUCCACUCUGUGACUCCAGAGCAGCCAGCCCCGUUCCUGGCUCAGACCCCGCCCCACAGCCAGAUGAUGCUGACGCAGAGGUCAGCUGUAUUAACAGUUCUGUUCACUCUCACACACAACCUACCAGCUCCCCGCACAAAAGUAGACACCUUACCCCGAGUCCUGGGGAGCACAGGAGCCGCCUCAGCCAUUCGGUGUCCCCGGUUUCGGGCAGGAACAGGAAGCAGCGAAUGAGCCCGCCGCCCGGGGAGGAGCCAGUUCCAGUCACAACCCAACUAACUGACAGCACCGCUGAUCUGAGGAGGCGGACUUUGUCCUUUGACGCCACAAGCCUCUCUCCUAAUCUGCCGGAGGGAAGUUCUGUGGAAGACUAA